CCUACGGGUGGCAGCAGUGGGGAAUCUUGAGCAAUGGGCGGAAGCCUGACGCAGCGACGCCGCGUGCGGGACGAAGGCUUUCUGGUCGUAAACCGCUUUCAGUAGGGACGUGGCCCUCACGGUGACGGUACCUGCACAAGUAGCCCCGGCUAACUACGCGCCAGCAGCCGCGGCAAUACGCAGGGUGCGAGCGUUAUCCGGAUUGACUGGGUGUAAUGGGGGCGCAGGCGGCGAUGCAAGCCAGCAGUGAAAGCCCGGGGCCCAACCCCGGGACUGCUCUUGGAACUGCAUGGCUGGAGUACGGGAGGGGCAGGCGGAAGUCCUGGUGUAGCGGUGAAAUGCGUAGAUAUUAGGAGGAACACCGAUGGCGAAGGCGGCCUGCUAGACUAUGACUGACGUUGAGGCCCGAAGGCGUGGGGAGCAAACAGGAUUAGAUACCCGAGUAGUC
rnacentral:rRNA from 1 species